rnacentral:lncRNA from 1 species
GGCGGCAGAAGAUGGAACGCAAGCGUCAGCCCUGAAGUCUCUGUACGACGCCGUGAACGCCGCCUUGGACCAGUCGGUCUUCACCAGCCCGCCUCUGGUCGCCCAGUCGUCGGCAUUCCAGAGGCUGGAGUAGAUCCUCAUGGGCUGGUUCUUGGGGAACGCGAUGCCCCUCGACUCCAGGUUCUUGAAGUCUCGGAUUGGCGUGCCGUCCACCAUGAAGCUGAAAGGUUGAUGCAGAUUCAUGGUGAGCAUAACUGUAAUGGAAUGAGAGUAGGCAGCAUAUCGAGUGGAAUACGCACAUGACAUGUCUUGGGUUCCAGAG